rnacentral:rRNA from 1 species
UACGUAGGGUGCUAGCGUUAUUCGGAAUUACUGGGCGUACAGGGUGUGUAGGCGGCUUGUUAAGUCGAUUGUUUAAUGUCCCGGCCUAACUGGGAAGAUGCGGUCGAAACUGGCGAGCUUGAGGAUGGGAGAGAGAAGUGGAAUUCUCGGAGUAGCGGUAAAAUGCGUAGAUAUCGAGAGGAACACCAAUGGCGAAGGCAGCUUCUUGGCCCAUUUCUGACGCUGAGGCACGAAAGCGUGGGGAGCAAACAGG